rnacentral:rRNA from 1 species
AGAUUGAACGCUGGCGGCAGGCCUAACACAUGCAAGUCGAGCGGUAGAGAGGUGCUUGCAUCUCUUGAGAGCGGCGGACGGGUGAGUAAUGCCUAGGAAUCUGCCUAGUGGUGGGGGAUAACGUUCGGAAACGGACGCUAAUACCGCAUACGUCCUACGGGAGAAAGGCGGGGGACCUUCGGGCCUCGCGCCAUUAGAUGAGCCUAGGUCGGAUUAGCUAGUUGGUGAGGUAAUGGCUCACCAAGGCGACGAUCCGUAACUGGUCUGAGAGGAUGAUCAGUCACACUGGAACUGAGACACGGUCCAGACUCCUACGGGAGGCAGCAGUGGGGAAUAUUGGACAAGUGGGCGAAAGCCUGAUCCAGCCAUCGCCGCGUGUGUGAAGAGUCUUACGGAUUGUAAAGCUACUUUAAGUGGGAGGUAAGGUUUAGUAACCUUAAGUCGUU